UGUUCGGCAGGGCUGAAAGCCCGGUAUAUUUCAGCCCCAUCCCGCGAGGGUGGGGUAUCGAUUCCCAUACCUUGCUUUGAGGGCUGAAAGCCUGAUAUAAUCUCUUUCCGUCACUUUUGGCUUGACCCAAAAGUAACCAAAAAGUCAAGGCUUCGUGCGCUUCACACGACUUCGCUACGCUCGCAGGUCGGAAAAUCAGGUAAC
rnacentral:sRNA from 1 species